rnacentral:rRNA from 1 species
UACAGAGGUCUCAAGCGUUUGUUCGGAUUCAUUGGGCGUAAAGAGUGCGUAGGCGGUCCUGUAAGUUUGGUGUGAAAUCUCCCGGCUCAACUGGGAGGGUGCGCCGAAGACUGCAGGGCUUGAGUAUGGGAGAGGUAAGCGGAAUUCCUGGUGUAGCGGUGAAAUGCGUAGAUAUCAGGAGGAACACCUGUGGUGUAGACAGCUUACUGGACCAUAACUGACGCUGAGGCACGAAAGCGUGGGUAGCAAACAGG